rnacentral:lncRNA from 1 species
AUUCUCCUCUUCACAUUAGAGGCACAAGAAACUCGUUAAGACAGCCCAGUGUUCAGAGCACUCAUCUAGGGCUAAUUAGAGACACUUUUAGGCAAUCUCUUUGAGAAGGGACGUAAAAGGAGUAGGGAAAACAGAAAUCUAAUGCAUACGGGCCAAAAGCUUUGCAGAUCAACCUCUCUGUGAGCCUGCAGGAAACAAAACUCUGCAUCCUGGGCACGGAAAAUCGGAUUGCAUGGUUUCUUUCUUGUUCUCAUUUAACAAUAGACCCACCAGUGUUCCUGACCUUAAAAAAAACGACCCGGGUAUAUCCUAGCCGAGAACUGUUGCAGGGAUCAUAAAUACCAAAUGGUUCUCUCCAUUGUCAUUGAAGUGACAUGAGAUAAUGCUAUAUUUAAGGCUUCAAAGGGUGGGCAGCUUUACCCUUGGGUGCAUUCUUGCCGGGACAGUCAUUCUGGAUGCCAUCAAGUAACAGAGAAGGCAUCGUUCUUUUGUCCUUCAUCUUUCUUCAGGACUGGAAGCUUCGCCAACCCUCUCCAGUUUUGCCGCAGAUUAGGACAGCCACUGAAAACACCCACGUCUGGGAGAUUUCCCCUUCAAGCUUGUUCCACCAAGGACAUAGAGUUCCCAAGCUGCAGCCUUGAUUCUCCAGCUGAACCCCCAAGACCUGGAUUCCAUACUUCUGAAUGUAUAAGGUUUGCUCCCCAAAAUAGAGUCUUAUUAUUUAUAUGGUUAUCACUGCGCCAGGAGUCCAGGGCUGCUGCGGUCAACUGGGUUUCGGAUGGGGGCAAAAUAAUACUCUUUUGUGCAUUUGUUUGCAUUUGAUCUUCUAAGCAUUCGGGCAGCAUCUAAAAAGAGCCAGCAAGCGGUCCUAAAAGUGGAGGGCCAACGGCAUAUCAGGCUCCCUCCUUUGGCAGCCGGUCCCUCGAAAUGGACCCAGGCCAAGGGCAGUUUCAUUGUCCGUCUCCCUAUUUCAAGCUCUAGGAAAGGGACCGACUUUGCUCUGCUUGGAUAGAGUUCAGACUUUAGAAGCAACACGUUAACAGGCCAGGUUGUGAUCUGAAAGGAGAUGCUUCCUCUCUCCUGCUCCCCAUGCCAAACAAAGCUGUAAUAGAGUUGCGUUUGGAAAAAACAACAUACCAAGUGGAAACACCAUUACAUCGGUUUUAGGGCAACAAAAAUGUGUUGUAGCUACUUUGUCUAAUUCUCUUUAAAGAACAUUUUAAACUGUUUAGAGGCCAUCAACCAGGCUGAUAGCUGCGGUUCGAUCAGCUUUUCCCCUUCUUCAAGGAAAUUAGCAAGUCCUUGUUCUCCUUUCGGUCUCCUGUAAUGAAAAGCCGGUCAGUGUACUUGGACACACGGAAGCUAGAAAUAUCUGUACAAUACUCAAGUCUAGGUUUAAUCUUGUAGCAAUAAAUACAAGAUUUCUUUUUCUUUCA